GUGCCAGCCGCCGCGGUAAUACGAAGGGGGCUAGCGUUGCUCGGAAUGACUGGGCGUAAAGGGCGCGUAGGCGGCUUGCACCGUCAGAUGUGAAAUUCCUGGGCUUAACCUGGGGGCUGCAUUUGAUACGUGUGGGCUUGAGUGCGGAAGAGGGUCGUGGAAUUCCCAGUGUAGAGGUGAAAUUCGUAGAUAUUGGGAAGAACACCGGUGGCGAAGGCGGCGACCUGGUCCGUGACUGACGCUGAGGCGCGAAAGCGUGGGGAGCAAACAGGAUUAGAAACCCCCGUAGUCC
rnacentral:rRNA from 1 species